rnacentral:pre_miRNA from 2 species
ACAUGCUUCCUUAUAUCCCCAUAUUAAUACACCACUUAUGGAAUGUAAGGAAGUGUGUGG